rfam:Candidate division Zixibacteria bacterium RBG_16_40_9 RBG_16_scaffold_9173, whole genome shotgun sequence.
AGGACUGUAGCUCAACUUGGUAGAGCACCGGUCUCCAAAACCGGCGGUUGGGGGUUCAAAUCCCUCCAGUCCUG